GAUGAAGAACGUAGCGAAAUGCGAUAAGUAGUGUGAAUUGCAGAAUUCAGUGAAUCAUCGAAUCUUUGAACGCACAUUGCGCCCCUUGGUAUUCCAUGGGGCAUGCCUGUUCGAGCGUCAUUUGUACCUUCAAGCUCUGCUUGGUGUUGGGUGUUUGUCUCGCCUCUGCGUGUAGACUCGCCUCGAAACAAUUGGCAGCCGGCGUAUUGAUUUCGGAGCGCAGUACAUCUCGCGCUUUGCACUCAUAACGACGACGUCCAAAAGUACAUUUUUACACUCUUGACCUCGGAUCAGGUAGGGAUACCCGCUGAACUUAAGCAUAUCAAUAAGCGGAGGA
rnacentral:misc_RNA from 1 species